UACGAAGGGGGCUAGCGUUUUUCGGAAUAACUGGGCGUAAAGCGCACGUAGGCGGAUUUGUAAGUCAGGGGUGAAAUCCCGGGGCUCAACCUCGGAACUGCCUUUGAUACUGCAAGUCUAGAGUCCGGAAGAGGUGAGUGGAAUUCCUAGUGUAGAGGUGAAAUUCGUAGAUAUUAGGAAGAACACCAGUGGCGAAGGCGGCUCACUGGUCCGGAACUGACGCUGAGGUGCGAAAGCGUGGGGAGCAAACAGG
rnacentral:rRNA from 1 species